rnacentral:rRNA from 1 species
GACGAACGCUGGCGGCGUGCUUAACACAUGCAAGUCGAACGGAAAGGCCCUGCUUUUGUGGGGUGCUCGAGUGGCGAACGGGGGAGUUACACGUGAGUAACCUGCCCUUGACUUUGGGAUAACUUCAUGAAACUUGGGCUAAUACCGGCUAGGAGCUCCUGCUGCAUGGUGGGGGUGGGAAAGUUUCGGCUGUUGGGGAUGGACUCGCGGCUUAUCAGCUUGUUGGGUGGGUAGUGGCUUAGCAAGGCCUUGACGGGUAGCCGGGCUGAGAGGGUGACCGGCCACACUGGGACUGAGCUACGGCCCAGACUCCUACGGGAGGCAGCAGUGGGGAAUAGUGCACAAUGGGCGGAAGCCUGAUGCAGCACCGCCGCGUGCGGGAUGACGGCCUUCGGGUUGUAUACCACUUUCGCCUGUGACGAAGCGUGAGUGACGGUAAUGGGUAAAGAAGCACCGGCUAACUACGUG